UAUGGAAGGCAGCAGUGGGGAAUAUUGCACAAUGGGCGCAAGCCUGAUGCAGCCAUGCCGCGUGUAUGAAGAAGGCCUUCGGGUUGUAAAGUACUUUCAGUCGUGAGGAAGGUGUUAAGGUUAAUAACCUUAGCAAUUGACGUUAGCGACAGAAGAAGCACCGGCUAACUCCGUGCCAGCAGCCGCGGUAAUACGGAGGGUGCGAGCGUUAAUCGGAAUUACUGGGCGUAAAGGGCACGCAGGCGGUUAAUUAAGUUGGAUGUGAAAUCCCCGGGCUUAACCUGGGAAUGGCAUUCAAGACUGGUUAGCUAGAGUCUUGUAGAGGGGGUAGAAUUCCAUGUGUAGCGGUGAAAUGCGUAGAGAUGUGGAGGAAUACCGGUGGCGAAGGCGGCCCCUGGGACAAAGGACUGACGCUCAUGUGCGAAAGCGUGGGGAGCAAACAGGGAUUAGAUACC
rnacentral:rRNA from 1 species